rnacentral:rRNA from 1 species
ACAGAGGUGUCGAGCGUUGUUCGGAUUUACUGGGCGUAAAGGGUGCGUAGGCGGCUUUGUGUGUCGGACGUGAAAUCCCACUGCUUAACGGUGGAGCUGCAUCCGAAACUACAGGGCUUGAGUGCCGGAGGGGGAGAUGGAAUUCUCGGUGUAGCAGUGAAAUGCGUAGAUAUCGAGAGGAACACCAGUGGCGAAGGCGAUCUCCUGGACGGCAACUGACGCUGAGGCACGAAGGCUGGGGGAGCAAACAG